rnacentral:rRNA from 1 species
GACGAACGCUGGCGGCGUGCUUAACACAUGCAAGUCGAACGGUGAAGCGCCUUCCUUUUUGGUGGGUGUGGAUGAGUGGCGAACGGGUGAGUAACACGUGAGUAACCUGCCCCCUUCUUCUGGAUAACCGCAUGAAAGUGUGGCUAAUACGGGAUAUUCUGGGUCUGUCGCAUGAUGGGUCUAGGAAAGAUAUUGUUUCGGUGGGGGAUGGGCUCGCGGCCUAUCAGCUUGUUGGUGGGGUGAUGGCCUACCAAGGCGGUGACGGGUAGCCGGCCUGAGAGGGUGGACGGUCACACUGGGACUGAGACACGGCCCAGACUCCUACGGGAGGCAGCAGUGGGGAAUAUUGCACAAUGGGCGCUAGCCUGAUGCAGCGACGCCGCGUGAGGGAUGGAGGCCUUCGGGUUGUGAACCUCUUUCGCCAGUGAAGCAGGCCUGCCUCGUUUGUGGGUGGGUUGACGGUAGCUGGAUAAGAAGCGCCGGCUAACUACGUG